rnacentral:tRNA from 1 species
CAGGGAGACAACAAAAUGUUUAAUAUUAUUAUUUUGUCACCUUAGGUCGAUCGGUAUCUCACGUUUUUAAUUUAUUAAGAAUUUCAUUUCCUAAGUUUUUCUAGGUCACACCCAUUAUUUUCCUGGGCCAUUAGCUCAGGUGGUUAGAGCGCACCCCUGAUAAGGGUGAGGUCCCUGGUUCAAGUCCAGGAUGGCCCAUAUCUCUAUGUUGGGGGUAUAGCUCAGUUGGUAGAGCGCCUGCUUUGCAAGCAGGAUGUCAGCGGUUCGAGUCCGCUUACCUCCACUGAUUACCACCUCUUCCAUAACCGGUAGAAAGGAAAUGUUUUGAGUUGUGAUCAAAUUCUGAAAGAAUCUAGCUUCCUAAUGAAAUCAUUAAGAUGCUGGACUCAUUGAAUUAAUUUCAUUGUUUUCAGAGAACCUUGACAACUGCAUAGAUUAUUUUAAAGACAAUAAGCAUCUUUAAUGAUGCAGAUUUAUUAUUUGUGCGAAUGCAUUAAUAACAAUUCUAUUAAGCUGAUGCUUCAAUUUUUGAAGUUAUU